GGCCUGGUAGUCUAGUGGUCAGGACGUGGGAUUCUGAAAACAUAGCAAGGAAACUUGAUAGUUCACGAGAAUCUUCCCGAAACCCCGGUUCGAUCCCGGGCCGGGCCU